CCAAGUGUGGUCAAAGGUUACCGUCUCACGGCUGGGCUACCUCGGGGCCUGCUCCCGCUCGGCUGGCGGCUUGUACUCCGGUCGUAACACCUGGCCGCCUAAAGGCACCGGCCCAGCCCCUCCUCUCUUUCCCGACUGCACUGCACUGCACGAGUGCCGCCUCCUCUCUAGAUCUGAGCGCCUCCAGCCUCCCGGUGCAUCAGUCACCUGGGAACUCCUGCACCCGAGGAUUACUGGGCUCCGAAAUCAGAAUCCUAGAGAUUCAGAUUCAGUGUGUCUGGGAGGAGCCAAGGAGUCUGCUUGCUUAAGAGGUGUCAACAGCCAUCCUCUGCUUUUUCCCACUCAUGUCCUUAUUUCAAAAGACUGCCCCAAUCCAAAAAUGAAAUUAAGGAAACAAUUCUAUUUACAACAACAUCUGAAAGGAUAAAAGAAACAUGUUUAACCAAGGAGGUGUGAGACUGGUAGAUGGAAAACCACAGAACAGUAUUGAAGGAAGUUAAAGAAGACCUAAACAAAUGGAAUGGUCCGUGCAUGGUUCAUGGAUUGGAAGACGUAAUAUUGUUAAUAUAGCUAAUAUGGUUUGGAUCUGUGUCCAACUAAAUCUCAUGUCUAAUUGUAAUCCCCAGUGUUGGAGGUGGGGCCUGGUAAGAAAUGACUGGAUCAUAGGGGCAGAGUUCUCAUAAAUGGGUUAGCACCAUCCCCCCCCUUGGUACCGUACAGUGAGUUCUCAGGAGAUCCGGUUGUUUAAAAGUGUGCAUCACCACCCCCUCUCUUUCUCCUGCUCUGGCUAUGUGAUGCUCCUCACUCCCCCUUUGCCUUCUGCCAUGAAUGGAAGCCUCCUGAGGCCUCCCCAGAAGCAGAAGCCACUAUGUGUUCUGUACAGCUUGUGGAACCAUGAUCCAAUUAAACCUCUUUUCUUUAUGAA